UACGUAGGGGGCGAGCGUUGUCCGGAAUCAUUGGGCGUAAAGAGCGUGUAGGCGGACUGGAAGGUCUGGUGUGAAAGCCCGGGGCUCAACCCCGGAGGGUCACUGGAAACCAACAGUCUUGAGUCCGGAAGAGGAGAGUGGAAUUCCUGGUGUAGCGGUGGAAUGCGCAGAUAUCAGGAGGAACACCGGUGGCGAAGGCGGGUCUCUGGGCCGAAACUGACGCUGGAGGAGCGAAAGCGUGGGGAGCAAACAGG
rnacentral:rRNA from 1 species